rnacentral:rRNA from 1 species
GUCUACUGCCAUACCACCCUGAAUGUGUCUGAUCUCAGAAGCUAAGCAGGGUCGGGCCUGGUUAGUACUUGGAUGGGAGACAUGGAGGUGAAGUGUAGGCUACGGGAAGCC